CCUACGGGUGGCAGCAGUGAGGAAUAUUGGUCAAUGGACGAGAGUCUGAACCAGCCAAGUAGCGUGAAGGAUGACUGCCCUAUGGGUUGUAAACUUCUUUUAUAUGGGAAUAAAACGUUGCACGUGUGGCUUUUUGUAUGUACCAUAUGAAUACGGCUCGGCUAACUCCGUGCCAGCAGCCGCGGUAAUACGGAGGAUCCGAGCGGUAGCCGGAUUUAUUGUGUUUAAAGGGAGCGUAGGUGGGUUGUUAAGUCAGUUGGUGAAGUUUGCGGCUCAACCGUAAGAUUGCAGUUGAUACUGGCAGACUUGAGUACAGGAGAGGUGGGCGGAAUGCGUGGUGUAGCGGUGAAAUGCUUAGAUAUCACGAAGAACUCCGAUGGCGAAGGCAGCUCACUGGACUGUAACUGACACUGAGGCUCGAAAGUGUGGGUAUCAAACAGGAUUAGAUACCCGAGUAGUC
rnacentral:rRNA from 1 species